CCACAUGCUGAAAGUCAGAGCUCAGACUCACACUGCCCGCCCCCGCGCAGGACACUAACGACUUGGGAAUCACUAGGAGCAGAGCCUGGCAUGUGCGGGAGCCACCCUAAGAGAAACCGUCCCAGAAGAGAGGUGCUAACUAGGUGAAGACAUAUGACUCUGAGCUCCACUUCCUGAUUCUAAUGGAGGGAGAGUCUGGCAUGGAGCCAGGAAGCAGAAAAGGCAUGAAAGGAAGAACUAAUUUGGAGCUGGCGCAAACAGUCCAAUGCAGAUGUGCCAGGCGGGCACCAACUUCCUCAAUGAGGGCGUGUUCUCCACGUCAACCGGCAGAUCACAAAAGCAACUGCAGCUCCUUGGAACUUUCCACCACAGAUGGGCGAUGGUGACCCCAGGUGACAUCUGACUGCGAUGACAAAGUGACUUGGGUUGAGAGAUUAGAAUCUCUAACUGCCUUGCGGUUUCAGAAGGCAAAAGGAGACAGACCUAAAAGAGGGGUGAGAGCUUAAAAAUUCAGGGUGAAUCGCUCCAGGACGAUAGACUUGUCUGGUGGGUCAUUCGUGUGGCUUCCUGAGGAAAAGCUUUUCAAGCCCCAGUUUGAUACCGUUGAAAUGGGCUGUGGAAACACAGGAAGCCCAUCCCUCAACCGAGCAGCUCACUGGCAACUGCUUCCAGAUGGAGUGGCGGUUCACCCCGUGAGGGCAGACAGACAGCGAAGGGAAAGCGGCCAGCUGACACCGAUGUGGAAGACUGUGGCAUUAUAAAAACUGUAUUCUCUCUUAAAGGCGUGCACAGGGCAGAUGAGCCCUGAGUCACAGCUUAUACCUGAUGGGAUAACACUGUGUUCCUGCCAAAACACUCAUUCUCUCACUCCGUAAUCGGACGCCGGGCACCCCUUCCUUCUCCUUGGCACUUCCCGCCAUUCCGACGAGGAACUUCAUUGCGGGGACACUGUGUGCUUUUCAGCGUGUCCCACAUGGCCAGAAGGCAAGGCUAGGAAUCGUUGGAAAUAUUUGUAGAUAAAGAGGCC
ensembl:lncRNA